rfam:Klebsiella pneumoniae IS43, WGS project CBWK01000000 data, contig: c115
ACGCAUCACUGGUGUUCGGGUUGUCAUGCCAAUGGCACUGCCCGGUAGCUAAAUGCGGAAGAGAUAAGUGCUGAAAGCAUCUAAGCACGAAACUUGCCCCGAGAUGAGUUCUCCCUGAGACUUUAAGUCUCCUGAAGGAACGUUAAAGACGAUGACGUUGAUAGGCCGGGUGUGUAAGCGCAGCGAUGCGUUGAGCUAACCGGUACUAAUGAACCGUGAGGCUUAACCUU